CUCCUCCCAUUCUGGAGCUGCCUUGUUUGUUUUAAAACCUUUUUAUUAUCUAGUUUUUCCUUGCGAUCAUUUGUCUGUCGUGGGCUCCGUUUGUUUUUCGAUGAUUCUCGAAUUUUGCUGCUGAAAAAGCAGCUGUUUGGGCUUUCCGGAGGCACAUCCAUGUCUUAAAGAGAGGAUUUCGAUGUUUAUGCAGUUCCUUUUCGAGCUCAAAAGUGGAAACUGCUGGGCUUGCAUAUUGUACUCUGCUUUACUGUUUUAGAAACGUGGCAUAGCUAUGGAGAGAUGGAAAGCCGAGGAGCAGAAGCCAAAGGAACAGAAGCCAAAGGCAAAUGAAAAUAAACCUAUUAUGACAGAGUAAAUGGGCCCCUGAUGGAAGCUUUAGCUAGGCUCAGGUUUCCUGAAGGUUAUUUGAAGUGUCAACUAAGAAACUGUUUUAAAUAUUACGAUUGUUGGUGGUGAAACUUGAACCUUGAUUUUGUUAGUGUAUGUAAUCCUGAGUUGAUUUGAUAAGUAAAGCUUUUGUUUCAUGACAAAAGAAAGUGUCUUCUGAAAAGUUUUUCAUGGUCAAUACAUGAUGCACUUGUGUCCUCUUU